rnacentral:rRNA from 1 species
AUUGAACGCUAGCGGCAUGCCUUACACAUGCAAGUCGAACGAGUGGCGGACGGGUGAGUAAUAUCUCGGAAACUGCCUGAUGGAGGGGGAUAACUACUGGAAACGGUAGCUAAUACCGCAUACCAUCAGAUGUGCCCAGAUGGGAGUAGCUAGUUGGUGUGGUAAAGGCUCACCAAGGCGACGAUCCCUAGCUGGUCUGAGAGGACGACCAGCCACACGGGAACUGAGACACGGCCCAGACUCCUACGGGAGGCAGCAGUGGGGAAUAUGGGACAAUGGGCGAAAGCCUGAUGCAGCCAUGCCGCGUGUAUGAAGAAGGCCUUCGGGUUGUAAAGUACUUUUGGCAGAGAAGCGUUAUCUGCAGAAGAAGCACCGGCUAACUCCGUGCCAGCAGCCGCGGUAAUUC